AGGGAAUCUUCCGCAAUGGACGAAAGUCUGACGGAGCAACGCCGCGUGAACGAAGAAGGUCUUCGGAUCGUAAAGUUCUGUUGUUAGGGAAGAACACGUACCAUUCGAAUAGGGUGGUACCUUGACGGUACCUAACGAGAAAGCCCCGGCUAACUACGUGCCAGCAGCCGCGGUAAUACGUAGGGGGCAAGCGUUGUCCGGAAUUAUUGGGCGUAAAGCGCGCGCAGGCGGUUCUUUAAGUCUGAUGUGAAAUCUUGCGGCUCAACCGCAAGCGGUCAUUGGAAACUGGAGAACUUGAGGACAGAAGAGGAGAGUGGAAUUCCACGUGUAGCGGUGAAAUGCGUAGAGAUGUGGAGGAACACCAGUGGCGAAGGCGACUCUCUGGUCUGUAACUGACGCUGAGGCGCGAAAGCGUGGGUAGCGAAC
rnacentral:rRNA from 1 species